UUUGGUUAAGUUAGAAAGGGCGCACGGUGGAUGCCUUGACACUAGGAGUCGAUGAAGGACGGGACUAACGCCGAUAUGCUUCGGGGAGCUGUAAGUAAGCUUUGAUCCGAAGAUUUCCGAAUGGGGAAACCCACCAUACGUAAUGGUAUGGUAUCCUUAUCUGAAUACAUAGGGUAAGGAAGACAGACCCAGGGAACUGAAACAUCUAAGUACCUGGAGGAAGAGAAAGCAAAUGCGAUUUCCUGAGUAGCGGCGAGCGAAACGGAACAUAGCCCAAACCAAGAGGCUUGCCUCUUGGGGUUGUAGGACAUUCUAUACGGAGUUACAAAGGAACGAGGUAGACGAAGCGACCUGGAAAGGUCCGUCGUAGAGGGUAACAACCCCGUAGUCGAAACUUCGUUCUCUCUUGAAUGUAUCCUGAGUACGGCGGAACACGUGAAAUUCCGUCGGAAUCUGGGAGGACCAUCUCCCAAGGCUAAAUACUCCCUAGUGAUCGAUAGUGAACCAGUACCGUGAGGGAAAGGUGAAAAGCACCCCGGAAGGGGAGUGAAAGAGAUCCUGAAACCGUGUGCCUACAAAUAGUCAGAGCCCGUUAACGGGUGAUGGCGUGCCUUUUGUAGAAUGAACCGGCGAGUUACGAUCCCGUGCGAGGUUAAGCUGAAGAGGCGGAGCCGCAGCGAAAGCGAGUCUGAAUAGGGCGUUUAGUACGUGGUCGUAGACCCGAAACCAGGUGAUCUACCCAUGUCCAGGGUGAAGUUCAGGUAACACUGAAUGGAGGCCCGAACCCACGCACGUUGAAAAGUGCGGGGAUGAGGUGUGGGUAGCGGAGAAAUUCCAAUCGAACCUGGAGAUAGCUGGUUCUCCCCGAAAUAGCUUUAGGGCUAGCCUUAAGUGUAAGAGUCUUGGAGGUAGAGCACUGAUUGGACUAGGGGUCCUCAUCGGAUUACCGAAUUCAGUCAAACUCCGAAUGCCAAUGACUUAUCCUUAGGAGUCAGACUGCGAGUGAUAAGAUCCGUAGUCAAAAGGGAAACAGCCCAGACCGCCAGCUAAGGUCCCAAAGUGUGUAUUAAGUGGAAAAGGAUGUGGAGUUGCUUAGACAACUAGGAUGUUGGCUUAGAAGCAGCCACCAUUUAAAGAGUGCGUAAUAGCUCACUAGUCGAGUGACUCUGCGCCGAAAAUGUACCGGGGCUAAAUACACCACCGAAGCUGCGGAUUGAUACCAAUGGUAUCAGUGGUAGGGGAGCGUUCUAAGGACAGUGAAGUCAGACCGUAAGGACUGGUGGAGUGCUUAGAAGUGAGAAUGCCGGUAUGAGUAGCGAAAGACGGGUGAGAAUCCCGUCCACCGAAUGCCUAAGGUUUCCUGAGGAAGGCUCGUCCGCUCAGGGUUAGUCAGGACCUAAGCCGAGGCCGACAGGCGUAGGCGAUGGACAACAGGUUGAUAUUCCUGUACCACCUCUUUAUCGUUUGAGCAAUGGAGGGACGCAGAAGGAUAGAAGAAGCGUGCGAUUGGUUGUGCACGUCCAAGCAGUUAGGCUGAUAAGUAGGCAAAUCCGCUUAUCAUAAAGGCUGAGCUGUGAUGGGGAAGCUCCUUAUGGAGCGAAGUCUUUGAUUCCCCGCUGCCAAGAAAAGCUUCUAGCGAGAUAAAAGGUGCCUGUACCGCAAACCGACACAGGUAGGCGAGGAGAGAAUCCUAAGGUGUGCGAGAGAACUCUGGUUAAGGAACUCGGCAAAAUGACCCCGUAACUUCGGGAGAAGGGGUGCUUUCUUAACGGAAAGCCGCAGUGAAUAGGCCCAAGCGACUGUUUAGCAAAAACACAGCUCUCUGCGAAGCCGUAAGGCGAAGUAUAGGGGGUGACACCUGCCCGGUGCUGGAAGGUUAAGGAGAGGGGUUAGCGUAAGCGAAGCUCUGAACUGAAGCCCCAGUAAACGGCGGCCGUAACUAUAACGGUCCUAAGGUAGCGAAAUUCCUUGUCGGGUAAGUUCCGACCCGCACGAAAGGUGUAACGAUUUGGGCACUGUCUCAACCAGAGACUCGGUGAAAUUAUAGUACCUGUGAAGAUGCAGGUUACCCGCGACAGGACGGAAAGACCCCGUGGAGCUUUACUGUAGCCUGAUAUUGAAUUUUGGUACAGUUUGUACAGGAUAGGCGGGAGCCAUUGAAACCGGAGCGCUAGCUUCGGUGGAGGCGCUGGUGGGAUACCGCCCUGACUGUAUUGAAAUUCUAACCUACGGGUCUUAUCGACCCGGGAGACAGUGUCAGGUGGGCAGUUUGACUGGGGCGGUCGCCUCCUAAAGUGUAACGGAGGCGCCCAAAGGUUCCCUCAGAAUGGUUGGAAAUCAUUCGUAGAGUGCAAAGGCAUAAGGGAGCUUGACUGCGAGACCUACAAGUCGAGCAGGGACGAAAGUCGGGCUUAGUGAUCCGGUGGUUCCGCAUGGAAGGGCCAUCGCUCAACGGAUAAAAGCUACCCCGGGGAUAACAGGCUUAUCUCCCCCAAGAGUCCACAUCGACGGGGAGGUUUGGCACCUCGAUGUCGGCUCAUCGCAUCCUGGGGCUGUAGUCGGUCCCAAGGGUUGGGCUGUUCGCCCAUUAAAGCGGUACGCGAGCUGGGUUCAGAACGUCGUGAGACAGUUCGGUCCCUAUCCGUCGUGGGCGUAGGAAAUUUGAGAGGAGCUGUCCUUAGUACGAGAGGACCGGGAUGGACGCACCGCUGGUGUACCAGUUGUUCUGCCAAGGGCAUAGCUGGGUAGCUAUGUGCGGAAGGGAUAAGUGCUGAAAGCAUCUAAGCAUGAAGCCCCCCUCAAGAUGAGAUUUCCCAUAGCGUAAGCUAGUAAGAUCCCUGAAAGAUGAUCAGGUUGAUAGGUUCGAGGUGGAAGCAUGGUGACAUGUGGAGCUGACGAAUACUAAUAGAUCGAGGACUUAACCAUAGAA
rnacentral:rRNA from 1 species